CCUACGGGUGGCAGCAGUGGGGAAUAUUGGACAAUGGGCGCAAGCCUGAUCCAGCCAUGCCGCGUGAGUGAUGAAGGCCUUAGGGUUGUAAAGCUCUUUCGUUGGGGAAGCGGUACCCAAAGAAGAAGCCCCGGCUAACUUCGUGCCAGCAGCCGCGGUAAUACGAAGGGGGCUAGCGUUGCUCGGAAUCACUGGGCGUAAAGCGCACGUAGGCGGACUCUUAAGUCAGGGGUGAAAUCCUGGAGCUCAACUCCAGAACUGCCUUUGAUACUGGGAGCCUUGAGUUCGGGAGAGGUGAGUGGAACUGCGAGUGUAGAGGUGAAAUUCGUAGAUAUUCGCAAGAACACCAGUGGCGAAGGCGGCUCACUGGCCCGUCUGACGCUGAGGUGCGAAAGCGUGGGGAGCAAACAGGAUUAGAUACCCUUGUAGUC
rnacentral:rRNA from 1 species